AUUCCUACGGGAGGCAGCAGUGAGGAAUUUUGCGCAAUGGCCGCAAGGCUGACGCAGCAACGCCGCGUGGGUGAUGAAGGCCUUCGGGUCGUAAAGCCCUGUCAGGUGGGAAGAAAGGCCUGGAGAGGAAAGGUUUCAGGUUUGACGGUACCACCAGAGGAAGCACCGGCUAACUCCGUGCCAGCAGCCGCGGUAAUACGGAGGGUGCGAGCGUUAUUCGGAAUUACUGGGCGUAAAGCGCGUGUAGGCGGGGGGACAAGUCUGAUGUGAAAGCCCUGGGCUUAACCUGGGAAGCGCAUUGGAAACUGUUUUUCUUGAGUACUGGAGAGGAAGGGGGAAUUCCCGGUGUAGAGGUGAAAUUCGUAGAGAUCGGGAGGAAUACCAGUGGCGUAGGCGCCCUUCUGGACGGUAACUGACGCUGAGACGCGAAAGCGUGGGGAGCAAACAGGAUUAGAUACCCUGGUAGUCCACGCUGUAAACGAUGAUCACUAGGUGUAGCGGGUACUCAUUCCUGCUGUGCCGCAGCUAACGCGUUAAGUGAUCCGCCUGGGGAUUACGGUCGCAAGACAAAACUCAAAGGAAUUGACGGAAU
rnacentral:rRNA from 1 species